AUUGAACGCUGGCGGCAGGCCUAACACAUGCAAGUCGAGCGAGCGGCGGACGGGUGAGUAAUGUCUGGGAAACUGCCUGAUGGAGGGGGCUAACUACUGGAAACGGUAGCUAAUACCGCAUACCAUCAGAUGUGCCCAGAUGGGAUUAGCUAGUCGGUGGGGUAACGGCUCACCUAGGCGACGAUCCCUAGCUGGUCUGAGAGGAUGACCAGCAACACUGGAACUGAGAAACGGUCCAGACUCGUACGGGAGGCAGAAGAGGGGAAGAUGGCACAAUGGGCGAAAGCCUGAUGCAGCCAUGGCGCGUGUGUGAAGAAGGCCUUCGGGUUGUAAAGCACUUUCAGCGGGGAGGCGUUACCAGCAGAAGAAGCACCGGCUAACUCCGUGCCAGCAGCCGCGGUAAUAC
rnacentral:rRNA from 1 species